CUAAGAAUAUUGGGCAAUGGAGGAAACUCUGACCCAGCCAUGCCGCGUGAAUGAAGAAGGCCUUCGGGUUGUAAAGUUCUUUUAGUAGUGAAGAUGAUGACAGUAGCUACAGAAAAAGCACCGGCUAACUUCGUGCCAGCAGCCGCGGUAAUACGAAGGGUGCAAGCGUUGUUCGGAUUUACUGGGCGUAAAGCGUCCGUAGGUGGUUUGUUAAGUCAGGGGUGAAAUCCCAGGGCCCAACCCUGGAACUGCCUUUGAUACUGGCAAGCUGGAGCGUGAUAGAGGAAGAUGGAAUAUCUGGUGUAGGGGUGAAAUCCGUAGAUAUCAGAUGGAACACCAAUGGCGAAGGCAGUCUUCUGGAUCAUUGCUGACACUGAGGGACGAAAGCGUGGGUAGCAAACAGA
rnacentral:rRNA from 2 species